CCUACGGGAGGCAGCAGUGGGGAAUUUUGCGCAAUGGCGGAGACCCUGACGCAGCGACGCGCGCGUGAAGGAUGAAGGUCUUCGGAUUGUAAACUUCUUCUGUCGAGGAAGAUUAUGACGGUACCCGAUGAAUAAGCCACGGCUAGCUCUGUGCCAGCAGCCGCGG
rnacentral:rRNA from 1 species